rnacentral:rRNA from 1 species
UAGGGAAUCUUCCGCAAUGGGCGAAAGCCUGAUGGAGCAACGCCGCGUGAGUGAUGAAGGUCUUCGGAUCGUAAAACUCUGUUAUUAGGGAAGAACAAAUGUGUAAGUAACUAUGCACGUCUUGCCGGUACCUAAUCAGAAAGCCACGGCUAACUACGUGCCCGCAGCCGCGGUAAUACGUAGGUGGCAAGCGUUAUCCGGAAUUAGUGGGCGUAAAGCGCGCGUAGGCGUUUUUUUAAGUCUGAUGUGAAAGCCCACGGCUCAACCGUGGAGGGUCAUUGGAAACUGGAAAACUUGAGUGCAGAAGAGGAAAGUGGAAUUCCAUGUGUAGCGGUGAAAUGCGCAGAGAUAUGGAGGAACACCAGUGGCGAAGGCGACUUUCUGGUCUGUAACUGACGCUGAUGUGCGAAAGCGGGGGGAUCAAACAGG